rnacentral:rRNA from 1 species
CCCUUAGAUGUUCUGGGCCGCACGCGUGCUACACUGAGUAAUUCAAUGGGUAAGGGAACGCUAGAGCAUUACCUAAUCUUGAAAUUUGCUCGUGAUGGGGAUCGACGGUUGCAAUUUUCCGUCGUGAACGAGGAAUACCUUGUAGGCGCAUGUCAUCAUCAUGCGCCGAAUACGUCCCUGCCCUUUGUACACACCGCCCGUCGCUGCAACUGAUUGGGUGACCUGGUGAACAUCUUGGACCGGCUUGCCCAUUUUUGGACGAGUUGGAAAAGGACGUAAAUCAGGUACAUCUAGAAAUUGCAAAAGUCGUAACA